UGAGGGUGAAUUGCUGAUUAUACUAGUAGUC
rnacentral:piRNA from 1 species